AUUCCCAUUUUAGUACCGUUCAUCCGAUCUAGCAGGUUGAGUGGCUAUGCUAAUGGGAAAGAGAAUCUCUGCCAUUGUCUGAAGAAGAGUCUGGCAUCAUAAACCACCUCUUCUAUAUGAAAUGACAGGACAAGACAUU
ensembl:snoRNA